UGCACCUGCCUACCUCGGCCGCUUCUGGA
rnacentral:piRNA from 1 species